UGCCAGCCGCCGCGGUAACACGGGGGGCGCAAGCGUUAUUCGGAAUUAUUGGGCGUAAAGGGCGCGCAGGCGGUCUUGUCCGUCAGGUGUGAAAGCUCGGGGCUCAACCCCGGAAGUGCACUUGAAACAGCAAGACUUGAAUACGGUAGAGGAGAGAGGAAUUCCUGGUGUAGAGGUGAAAUUCGUAGAUAUUAGGAGGAACACCAGAGGCGAAGGCGUCUGUCUGGGCCAUUACUGACGCUAAGGCACGAAAGCGUGGGGAGCGAACAGGAUUAGAUA
rnacentral:rRNA from 1 species